AAAGGGAUUCCCCCAGUAGCGGCGAAAAGGGAUCCCAAAGAAUCCCGCCCUUUGGAGAAAUGUGGCGUAUGGAGGCGGAUUUCGGGAGGUUGGAGGCGACUCAAGUCCCCAUGAAUGGGGCGACCGAAGUGGGUGUGAGUCCCGUUCAGUCGCUCUCCUCUUUCCGAGCACCGCUCUCCCGGGAGUCGGGUUGCUUGAAAGUGCAGCCCAAAGUGGGUGGUAUGCUCCACCUAAGGCUAAAUAUCCCCGAGAGACCGAUAGCAAAAAAGUACCGUGAGGGAAAGUUGAAAAGAACUUUGAAGAGAGAGUUCAAUAGUACGUGAAACCGCUUAGAGGUAAACGGGUGGGCCCUCGAAGUCUGAAGGCAGUUCAACUCGGGCGAUAUCGAACAGUCGGGUUUUGGGUACGCACGUCAACGAGUAGUCGGCGGCUMAUGCCCCUGUGCAUCUUUUCUGUCCAGAGGCCGCGACCGGUUGGUCGACGUUUGGAAGGAGACAGGUGGCCUACCUCGCGGCGAGGUGGGUGUUACAGCAGUAUAGCCGACCGUCGCGACCGGAAACGAGAGCACUUCGCUUGACGUUCCCAUAUUUGUGAUUUCUGAAGUGUUAAGGGWUAAGCUAUUUUGGGAGAUCUCGCUUGGGAGCCAGAAGUCAGCGGUCAGUAGGCCGGGUCCCACCCGACCCGUCUUGAAACACGGACCAAGGAGUCUAACGCGUAUGCAAGUCCGAGGGUGUUAAGCAACCCCGAGGGCAAAAUGAAAGUGACCGUCAACGUUGGGAUCCGGCGGCGCACCAGCCCGUCCGUACCGCUACGUCGGUGGGGCGGAGCAUGAGCAUAUGCUGGACCCGAAAGAUGGUGAACUAUGCCUGGGCACGAAGCCAGAGGAACUCUGGUGGAGGUCCGCAUUCUGAAGUGCAAAUCGAU
rnacentral:rRNA from 1 species